rnacentral:rRNA from 1 species
UACAGAGGGGGCAAGCGUUAUUCGGAAUUAUUGGGCGUAAAGGGUGCGUAGGCGGCGCGGUAAGUCGGGUGUGAAAUCUCGGAGCUUAACUCCGAAACUGCAUUCGAUACUGCCGUGCUUGAGGACUGGAGAGGAGACUGGAAUUUACGGUGUAGCGGUGAAAUGCGUAGAUAUCGUAAGGAAGACCAGUGGCGAAGGCGGGUCUCUGGACAGUUCCUGACGCUGAGACGCGAAAGCGUGGGGAGCGAACAGG